AGUAGUGGCGAGCGAACGGGAAAGAGCCCAAACCAUACAUGUUACGGCAUAUAUGGGGUUGUAGGACCACGAGAUGUGAUUUGUAAAGUAAACUGGAACCAGGUGGGAAACUGGGCGAUAUGGGUGACAGCCCCGUACAGGUAAGCAAUACAGCGCUAGUGGUAUCCUGAGUAGGGCGGGACCGGAGGAAUCCUGCUUGAAUCUGCCAGCACCAUCUGGUAAGGCUAAAUACUCCUGAGAGACCGAUAGUGAACCAGUACUGUGAAGGAAAGGUGAAAAGAACCCCGAACAGGGGAGUGAAAAGAACCUGAAACCGUGUACUUACAAGCGGUUGGAGCAGGGUGAUCCUGUGACAGCGUGCCUUUUGCAUAAUGAGCCUACGAGUUACUCUUUACUGGCAAGGUUAAGUGAUUCAGUCACGUAGCCGCAGCGAAAGCGAGUCUGAAUAGGGCGCAGAGUCAGUAGAGGUAGACGCGAAACCUUGUGAUCUACCCUUGGGCAGGUUGAAGGUUGGGUAACACCAACUGGAGGACCGAACCGAUAAACGUUGAAAAGUUUCCGGAUGACCUGAGGGUAGGGGUGAAAGGCCAAUCAAACUGGGAAAUAGCUCGUACUCCCCGAAAUGUUUUUAGGAACAGCGUCGAUAUAUAGUCUUAUAGAGGUAGAGCUACCGAUUGGGUGCGGGGGAGUCAAAUCCUACCAAAUCCAGACGAACUCCGAAUGCUAUAAGAUAUGAUCGGCAGUGAGGCUUUGGGUGCUAAGGUCCAAGGCCGAGAGGGAAAGAACCCAGACCAUCAGCUAAGGUCCCCAAAUGUAGUCUAAGUUGAACUAACGAGGUCCGGUUGCCCAGACAGCUAGGAUGU
rnacentral:rRNA from 1 species